GACGAACGCUGGCGGCGUGGAUUAGGCAUGCAAGUCGAACGGUAUCAUCCUUUCGGGGGUGAGAGAGUGGCGAACUGGUGAGUAACACGUAGGUUAUCUACCCUCAAGACGGGGACAACCCAGGGAAACUUGGGCUAAUACCGGAUGUGAGCAACUUUUAGUUGUUUGAAAGGUGGCGUAAGCUGUCGCUUGGGGAUGAGCCUGCGUCCUAUUAGUUAGUUGGUGAGGUAACGGCUCACCUAGGCAAUGAUAGGUAGGCGGCCUUAACGGGUGGUCGCCCACACUGGGAUUGAGAUACGGCCCAGACUCCUACGGGAGGCAGCAGUCGAGAAUAGUCUACAAUGGUCGGAAGACUGAUAGUGCGACGCCGCGUGAACGAUGAAUCCCUUCGGGGUGUAAAGUUCUUUUAUAUGUGAGCAGUGCUUCUUAUAUUAACAGUAUGGGGAGAGAGAUAUUAGCAUAUGAAUAAGCAACGGCUAACUCCGUGCCAGCAGCCGCGGUAAAUA
rnacentral:rRNA from 1 species